GAGUUUGAUCAUGGCUCAGAACGAACGCUGGCGGCGUACCUAACACAUGCAAGUCGAACGAGAAAUUCCGAUUCGUCGGGAGAGUAAAGUGGCGAAUGGGUGAGUAAUGCGAGGGUAAUCUGCCCUUGAAUUAGGGAUAACUUUGCGAAAGCGAAGCUAAUACCUAAUAAGACUACAGUCUCUUAGGAGACAGUAGGAAAAGAUGGCCUCUGUUUCAAGCUAUUGUUUAAGGAUGAGCCCUUGUACUAUUAGCUAGUUGGUGAGGUAAUGGCUCACCAAGGCGAAGAUGGUUAGCUGGUCUGAGAGGAUGAUCAGCCACACUGGAACUGAGACACGGUCCAGACUCCUACGGGAGGCAGCAGUGAGGAAUAUUGCGCAAUGGGGGAAACCCUGACGCAGUGACGCCGCGUGAGUGAUGAAGGCUUUCGAGUCGUAAAGCUCUGUGAGGUGGAAAGAAAUGUUCCAGUACUAAUAUUACUGGAAUUUGACGGUACCACCAGAGGAAGCACCGGCUAACUCCGUGCCAGCAGCCGCGGUAAUACG
rnacentral:rRNA from 1 species